rnacentral:lncRNA from 1 species
AGUGUCUAGGCGCCUUCUUUAUACUUUGAGGCUUGGAUGGACUUGGUUUUGAACCGUAGAGAGUUGAACACCGACCGUCCUUCUGCCCACCCCUCUGCCUUAGGGUGGAUGCCCACUGCCCCUCCAUCCCUAGCCGAUGAGAGACAGUGGAGAUGAGGAGAAGCUGAGAUGGGACGAAGGCGGUUUGAAGUCCUCCUUUAAAAUUGUAAAGAAAAAGGACAGCCAAAAGUCAAAUUACCCGCACUUUACCAAAUUUGGCAAAAUGCUCUUUGAAGUUCUCCCUUAAAACUGUUUCUUUAUGAAGCUUGUAUGAAGCAGAAUCUACAUGAUUCUAUUCUGCAAGAGACACAACUCUUAAGAAAAAUAUAAAAUAGGAACUUGAGAGGUCAUCAAGCAAGAAAUAAGAAAAUAAUGGCUACAAUGCAGCAAAAAUAGCAUCAAGACCAGGUGCAAGUUCACACGCCCUUAUGAUGAUCUGGUAUAGUUCCUAGAGCUGAAAUUAGGGAGGAAAUUGUAGUAACAUUAAACCUAAGCAUGCUUACCAAUGAGGCGUUGAUACAAACUGGAUUCCGUCCUGGGCAGGGCAUCUCACUCUUCCAAUAAGAAACAUAAAAC